UUUUUCCCCCCCAGGAUCACAUCCAUCGACAUCCGCUACCAGAUCUGGAAAUUCGGGGUGAUCUUCACCGACAACUCCUUCCUGUACCUCACCUGGUACAUGGCCAUGUCCCUGCUGGGCCACUACAACAACUUCUUCUUCGCCUCGC